AUGGCACUGGCUGCAGCUAGGGGGAGCUCCAGAGCACAGCUCCUCUUCUAGCCAGCCGAGGGAAGCUCUCUGCUCCGUCAGCCUGAUGAUGAAAGCCAAAGACAGAUGAAUCCCACCCUGCCCGUUUUUGUGCGCCCUACCAACCCGCCGUUUUCUGCCUGCCGUACCCCGCCACGCCGCCAGACCCAGCCGUGCGCCGCCGGACCCGAAAAAAAUCUCCUCUGGUCACUUCUGGCGGUGUUUAUGCGGCAAUAUAAUGUUCAACCAACCUGCAUCCUUGUUCCACACAGCGAGGACGCGGAAGAUGAAUGCGCUGAAAGUGGCCGCAAAGAAUCCACGCCAGUAGUUCCGCACCGCAAAGUAGGAGGAGGUGACCUCAAUGCUGAACAACACCCCUGUAUGAAAACGUACAGCAACAACACUAUGACAUGACAUCACACCGAGACGGAUACUACACAGAGAACUACAGCAAUAUUCCUUGUCUUGGCCAGAGUCAGAUACCAGGAACACCACACCCUGGCCUAAACCAUGCCUUGCUCAUGUAGCUCCAUCAGAAUGACAGGAGGAGACCGGAAGUGACAGGAGCGACAGGAAGUAACAGGAGUGACAGGAGGCAACAGGAAGUGACACAAGGCAACAGGAAGUGACAGGUCAGAGGAAGCCAUCACAGAUGCAGGUAGACUAAAGUUAAUAUACAAAGGCAACACUUGCCUCCAAGUGGUGCAGCAAAGCAGCAUCCAACACCCACAGCACAGGCAGCGGCCAAAAGAUCCAGGUGUCUGUAAGGGUCCUGAGUAAGGGCAUUAUAUAUAUAUGUGAGUGGAUGCAAUACAAUAUUUCACAGAUGGAAUCUAGUAGUUACAUGUUGUCUUUAUACAAGAGUUGACAUCUUCUAGACUCUUUACUAUUUGGUAUGCACCAUGAAGCGGCUCACAUCAAUAUAAAUACCUCAGAAUUAGCAUGUGAGCAGUGUUUAUAUUUGAACUUUUCUGUUAGGUAAAAUAGGAAGGCAAUGCAUUGAUUAAUAUGGGGAGCAGCUGUCAUGCAUGUAAUGCACUGCCCCCCAGUGGCCAGAGUAUGAACUACAGCUUGCGGUGAUGAGGUGAUGCUCGUUAUCUCAUAUAUAGGUGUAAAUUUGCCCUCACUGCCAGUUAUACAUGACAACAUGGCACACGUCCACAAUGAGUCAGAGGACACAGGUCUGUUUCUUAUAGUGUACCUGUCAGAUAAAUGCAGUGGGGGCCGCCAUUUUGUGGCAUGAGCCAAUGACAAUGCAGCCUUGCAUGUAACAGACUAACCAGGGUGUAAUGAAUGUCAGUUACACAUUGCCUCAGUAACAUCAUUGCUUCGGGGGUAAGUGCCUAACCCUCCCUUCCUGCAGCAUAACCCUAACCCUCCUGCAGCCUAACCCUAACCCUCCUGCAGCCUAAACCUAUCCCCUGCCUCUAGUGCCUAACCCUAACCCCCCUCUUGUAGCCUAACCCUAAACCCCCCGUAGUGCCUAACUUUAACCCUCCUGCCAGUACCUAAGCCCAACCCUCCGACUAGUGCCUAACCCUUACCCUCCCCCUAGUGCCAAAGCCUAACCCUCCCCUCCUGUAGCCUAACUUUAACCCUCCCCCUAGAUCCUAACUCUCUCCUCCCACAGCCUAACCUACCCACUAGUGCCUAACUCUUAGCCUCCCCUCCCACUAGUGUCAAACCCUAACUUCCUGUCCCACAGCCUAACCCUUACCAUCCCCUUCUGUAUCCUAACCCUCCUGCUAGUACUUAACCCUAGUCCUCCCCUCCUGUAGCCCAACCCUAACCCUCCUGCUGGUGCCUAACCCUCCCUUCCCGUAGCCUAACAGUAACUGUCCUGCAGCCUAUCCCUAUCCCCUUAACCUUAACAUCCUGUCCGCAGCUUAACCCCCCCAAUCCCUAACCCUUCCCUUAAUGUCUAACCCUAACGCUCCCACAACUGCCUAACCCUAGUCCUCGCUUCCCGCAGCCUUACCCCGAACUCUGCCACUAGUGCCUAACCCUAGCCCUCCUCUCCUGCAGUCUAACCUUAACCCUUCCUAGUGCCUAACCCUAACCCACCUGUCCCACAGCCUAACCCUCCCUCCUGCAGCCUAACCCUAACUUCCAUCUUGGAGCCUAAGCCUCCCCUCCUGCAGCCUAACCGUAACCCUCCCGCUAUUGCCUAACCUUAACGUUCCCCUCCCGAAGUCUUACCCUAACCCUUCCCCUAGCGCCCAACCCUAAUACUCUCCUCCAACAGCCUAACCCUGCCCCUAGUGAGCAGGGUAAAUACUGGCUGCUGUUUCAUGUAGCCCACACAUUUUAGACAGUUUUAUAUUUAAUCUGCAAUUUACAUUUCAGUUUGAACACCCCCCACCCUAAUCUAACUCUCUCUGCACAUGUUACAUCUGCCCCACCUGCAGUGCACAUGGUUUUGCCCAGCAAGUUAUGCAAAUCUUGUUACUAAUAAUAAUUAAUAUUAAUUGGUGAUAGAAAUUGGGUGUAGCUCUAUGUAUUAUUUAAUCUAAGAACAAUAUAUAUUACGGUACAAUAUAUAGACUGUAAUGAACACUGUAAUGAGAAUUGGGGGGCGGCCAGCACACCAGGAAAUCGCUAUCUACUAUGUUAUCACAAUUGCAUUUUUAAAACACUUGGUAUAAUAAAUGAAAGUAAUCAUAAUUUUGUGGUUGGAUAAAGCUGUUUAAAAUAAUGCGAGUGCAUUAGGAAGUGGUGACAUGUGACAGAGGAAGGAGAACAUCUAUUGGAUGUACAGUAAUGGCGUAUUUGUGCGUUGCCGGGAGGAAGGGGCACUGUUAUGUGUACUUAAUGCUGCGGAUUUGGGAUUCUGUUCAUUGCUCUCCUCAUGGUGCACCCUGCAGUGAAACGCGUAAGGCUAUUGCCCCUACAUUACUAUUUCUGUAAGAAGACUGGAGGUUCAGCGGAUCCAUUGGUGUACGCUAAUGUAACCGAGCUGCGCAUUAAUCCCUCUGUUUGGAUCAUCUCAGGGCUGCGUUCUCAGAGUGAGACCUGGAUGUUCCAUAACAGAGGAGGUAACACACGUUCCGGAUUGUUUCUGGCUGCUAGUUGCUAUGGAUAUGUACAGUGUGGGAUACUUUCUUGUUAAUGAUCUUUGGGACUUUUCGGUUCCUAUUAAAUAACUCGCAGCCGCCAUGCUUGGGCAAGAUUACUAUUCCCAAACGUUUUCCACGUGAAUGGUAAGUGAUUAUUUUUCCUUAAUGAAAAGGCCGCAAAGGGUUUUAUUUAGUAACAAGAGAUUAGCAUAAAAUACAGCGAUACUUGAGAUAGGACUUCUCUCUAUAUAAUAAGCCGCGGGCCCUGGCCGACAACAGCCAUCACCGGGCACUGCGCAUUUACCACAGACUGCAGCGGUGCAAUUACUGCCGGCUGUCCUCCGCUCGCUGUCACAGAACGGCAAUAGCAGAGGCCCGACUGGAAUCAAAAUGCCUAAUUAUUAAAAUAAAGCAUUUUAUAUUUAGAAAAAAAACUAAAAGGAUUACAAUUACUAUUUUUCCUUAUGUUUUACAAAAAUAUUUAAAUCUUUUUCUUAUUUCAUGGUGGUUACAUGGGGAUCCAGACUGGCCGGCGCAGUGGGAAGUUCAGCCUUACCCCUGCCGGAUAGGGGUCUGGUUCAUUGGGUGGACCCUAACUAGGUUGACAGUCAUUAGAUUGACCGCUUUUGGUCGACAGUGACUAGGUCGACACGUAAUAUCACUCAACUGCCCCAGAGAAAUUUCCUUAGCAAAUUGCUACAAUCGCUGAUUUUCUGUGGCCGCAAGGAGUGGUUAUACUGCAGCAAACCGCAGAAUAAUAAAUACCACCCAAUUCUGGAAUAUUGUCUUUUGACUGAACAGAGCUUUUAGUUAAUAGAGAAAAAUAUAAACUAACUUGAGUUAAUUGUUGUAAUUUGUUUUAUGGAAACGUGUGAAUUGCCGAUCUAGCGCUGUUUCACUGUUUUUCUUGUCACAUUAAAGUGUGUCUUAUAUAAGAG